rnacentral:rRNA from 1 species
AACGAACGCUGGCGGCAGGCUUAACACAUGCAAGUCGAGCGCCCCGCAAGGGGAGCGGCAGACGGGUGAGUAACGCGUGGGAACGUACCCUUUGCUACGGAAUAGCUCCGGGAAACUGGAAUUAAUACCGUAUGCGCCCUACGGGGGAAAGAUUUAUCGGCAAAGGAUCGGACCCAGUUGGAUUAGGGAGUUGGUGGGGUAAUGGACUACCAAGGCGAAGAACCAUAGCUGUUCUGAGAGGAUGAUCAGCCACAUUGGGACUGAGACACGGCCCAAACUCCUACGGGAGGCAGCAGUGGGGAAUAUUGGACAAUGGGCGCAAGCCUGAUCCAGCCAUGCCGCGUGAGUGAUGAAGGCCUUAGGGUUGUAAAGCUCUUUCACCGGAGAAGAUAAUGACGGUAUCCGGAGAAGAAGCCCCGGCUAACUUCGUGCCAGUCGCCGCCGUAACAC